rnacentral:rRNA from 1 species
UCCCCUAGUAACUGCGAGUGAAGCGGGAAAAGCUCAAAUUUAAAAUCUGGCGGUUGCACCGUCCGAGUUGUAAUCUGGAGAAGCGUUUUCCGUGCUGGACCGUGUACAAGUCCCUUGGAACGGGGCGUCAUAGAGGGUGAGAAUCCCGUCCAUGACACGGACUGCCAGUGCUUUGUGAUACGCUCUCGAAGAGUCGAGUUGUUUGGGAAUGCAGCUCAAAAUGGGUGGUAAAUUCCAUCUAAAGCUAAAUAUUGGCGAGAGACCGAUAGCGAACAAGUACCGUGAGGGAAAGAUGAAAAGCACUUUGGAAAGAGAGUUAAACAGUACGUGAAAUUGUUGAAAGGGAAACGCUUGGAGUCAGUCGCGUCUGUCGAGACUCAGCCUUGCCUUCGGGCUUGGUGUACUUCUCGGCCUGACGGGCCAACAUCGAUUUUGAACGGCGGAUAAAGGUCUGGGGAAGGUGGCACCUUCGGGUGUGUUAUAGCCCCUCUCCGUAUACGUCGUCUGGGAUCGAGGACCGCAGCACGCCCUUGUGGCUGGGGCCCUUUGCCCACAUAACGUGCUUAGGAUGUUGGCGUAAUGGCUUUAAGCGACCCGUCUUGAAACACGGACCAAGGAGUCUAACAUGCCCGCGAGUGUUAGGGUGUAAAACCCUUGCGCGUAAUGAAAGUGAAAGUUGGGACCUCUGUCGAGGAGGGCACCGACGCCCGGCCCUGAACUCUUGUGACGGUGCUGCGGUAGAGCGUGUAUGUUGGGACCCGAAAGAUGGUGAACUAUGCCUGAAUAGGGCGAAGCCAGAGGAAACUCUGGUGGAGGCUCGUAGCGAUUCUGACGUGCAAAUCGAUCGUCAAAUUUGGG